rnacentral:piRNA from 1 species
UUCAAUUCCAUAUUCACUAAA